GUUUUCGCAGGGACAACUUCAGGAAGGACUCCAACAUCAAGCAUGUCUCCAUGGUUGGCAAGGGCGGUGGUGAGAAGUGGAAGUAUCUUGAGUGAUGUUGAGAAGGCUCCCUAAUUGCCAAGGCCAAGUACACCAAGAAGAUCGACACCUACAACAACCCACUGGCAGGAGAGGCGUCCGACGACUCUGACAAGUCCCAGUAUGAGGUGAGCGACGAGGACGACGAAAGCAAU